AGUAAGUUGACUUUCUGUUGUAUGGAUAAACCACAUCAUCUCAAUAUUGCAAGCUGCCUUUGGAAAGUUGCUUCCUGUAUUCCUUCAUCAAUUUCCGUCAUCAUGGAGGUUGCACCUGCAUGUGUCUGACAAACUAGAAAGAUGUUUAAAAUAGUAACAAGACUCCAGCAUCAGAACAAACAAUGACUUUCUACCUUAGCAAUUCCAGUUUUUUGGCAAUGAAACUGAUUUCCCACAUCCAGACCGGCAGAGAUGCAGUAUGUUUUCCUUCAUUGGAGAGCAUGCAGUGAUACUAGGCAGACAGAGGAUGGGAAUUUGGAAGAGUCCCAAUUUAAACAUAGGAUUUGCUCUGCUACAUCAAUCCAUUGUUUUCCCAGCUCAGGAAUCCUGCCUUUGGCAAUGGCUCUCUGUCUCAUGCUCCUGAGGAAAAGGACAAAUCUACUCUGCAAAUAAUGCGCCUGGCCAUUGCGGUGCAGGGAGCUAGGGAAUUCUUUC